AUUACCUCUUCUGGUGUUUUGUAGGUGAGCCCAGUAUAAGGGUGACUUUGAUGGAUGCUGCUUCUGAAAUUGAGAAGGGGCUUAAUCAAUGGGGUAUGAUUGGAACACAUAUAUUCAGGAAACAACAAAAAAAUCUGCAGAAGGUGAACCUUAAAGAAGUAGCAGAACUGGAGGGUACAGAGAAAGUUCUCAGUGGUUUUCAGGGACUCAAGAGUUCAGUUUGGUCUGGAAAUGGACCCCACCUUUCAGCAAUGGCAUACUAAACAGGAGACCGGAACUUCUGAG